rnacentral:misc_RNA from 1 species
GUGUUCUUGUCCAUUACUUCCAUCUGGUCUAGAAAAGAAGCAUUUGCAUUAAUUAUCAUAAUAUAGGUUUGUAUCUGUGGGUCAUCUGGUAAAGAGUUACACUCGCAACACAUCAUAUUAAAUACCAUAUAAAAGGUUUUCUAAAAAUGAGAAGCAAAAGUAUCAUAUUUCAUUUGAAGAACUCAAGAUACAGGUUAUUAUGGCGUAACAAAAUGGAACUG